rnacentral:snRNA from 1 species
AUUGCUUCUCGGCCUUUCGGGUAAGAUCAAGUGUA